rnacentral:lncRNA from 1 species
UUUCUAAAUUCAAGAAACUAUUCUCUCUUGAAAGUCAUAGGCUAGAGAGUCCAAAGACUCCCUCUAGCCACCUUCCAAGCACAUUUUCCUCCAUUUUCAUUUUUCUCCAUUAAUUCCUUUGUGCUUUAUCUCUCCUCCACGACGUCACUGAACCACUCUCUCACCGCCACAUCCUCAGCCCUUGUGUCAGCACCACAUACUCGUCAUCAGACAUAUGUGGCUUUACCUCUCGCGCAUCAGAAACGCGAAUUCAUUCUCUCACGUCUUCUUCCUCUGGAGCGUUCAUCCUCCUCAGAAGCUCGUCUUCGCCUCCAACCAGUUCUUCAUCACAGUUCACCAUUUUCACAGUCUUGCCUUUAACAUUCGCAUAUCGUCAUUCCUCUUCAGCUCCUACACCAAAAACCUCCAAAACUUAGGGUUUCUUCCCUCUUUUGCAAUUUCCUUCCAUUUUGACCGGUUAAAUCCUUCUUUGCUCCGAUCUAGUCCAUUUCCACCGAUUAAAACACCAUUCCCACC